rnacentral:ncRNA from 1 species
AAUUUCAUAGACCUGCCGGGUGCAUCAUCUCCCGGAUGGGAAUGCUCAAAGGCGAAGCCGGUGCAAGUCCGGCGCUGUCGCGCAACUGUGAGCCUGGGACGACGGAUCAGCGUGUAACGAAAGAUGAUCUGCCCAAUCCCGGCAAGCCAGGUCGCCCGCCCAGGCAGGUAUGAUCCA